AUUGAACGCUGGCGGCAGGCCUAACACAUGCAAGUCGAGCGAGCGGCGGACGGGUGAGUAAUGUAUGGGAAACUGCCUGAUGGAGGGGGAUAACUACUGGAAACGGUAGCUAAUACCGCAUACCAUCAGAUGAGCCCAGAUGGGAUUAGCUAGUAGGUGGGGUAAAGGCUCACCUAGGCGACGAUCCCUAGCUGGUCUGAGAGGAUGACCAGCCACACUGGAACUGAGACACGGCCCAGACUCCUACGGGAGGCAGCAGUGGGGAAUAUUGCACAAUGGGCGCAAGCCUGAUGCAGCCAUGCCGCGUGUAUGAAGAAGGCCUUAGGGUUGUAAAGUACUUUCAGCGGGGAGGCGUUACCCGCAGAAGAAGCACCGGCUAACUCCGUGCCAGCAGCCGCGGUAAUUC
rnacentral:rRNA from 1 species